ensembl:rRNA 5S_rRNA 5S ribosomal RNA
AAAUGUGGGGAGGUGAACCCUGGGCACGCCCGAUCUCGGAAACUAAGCAGGUCGGGCCUGGUUAGUACUUGGAUGGGAGACCGCCUGGGCAUGCCAGGUGCUGUAAGCU